rnacentral:rRNA from 1 species
UACGAAGGGGGCUAGCGUUGUUCGGAAUCACUGGGCGUAAAGCGCGUGUAGGCGGAUUGUUAAGUCGGGGGUGAAAUCCCGAGGCUCAACCUGGGAAUGGCAUUUGAUACUGGAUAGCUAGAGUAUGGUAGAGGUGAGUGGAAUUUCAGGUGUAGCGGUGAAAUGCGUAGAGAUCUGAAGGAACAUCAGUGGCGAAGGCGACUCACUGGGCCAUUACUGACACUGAGGUGCGAAAGCGUGGGUAGCAAACAGG